UGGGGCGAUGGGGGCAGGUGGGGCUUGAAAAUUCCCCCUAGUCCAAAGUGGGGGAUGACCGAAAAAGUUUGAGAACCACUGUGUAGGCGUUAUUCGAUAGCCUGGUUAUGUGUAUAGGCCUACGUCGGUAGGACUAUUCAAACUGGUUUAAAUAAGAAAUGUUAUAGUAUUUCCCAUCUUUGCUGAGCAAGUUUUGUUCGAAAGUUCAAUGAUUGAAACAAAUAAAAGCCUGGGCUAUUGAAGUUUUAUGGUAGGCCUACCACUAUCAUGCACCUACCCGAUGUCAAGUGGACCGGGUUGAAUUCACUGCGGGUCUCUCUUCUUAUAUCCAUCUUACCAAAUAUAUUUUAUUACUGUCCUUCUCAACACUCUGAUCUCACUAAAAGGCUAGCACCACGAAAACUAAUUAACUAAUGUCAUAGUUAACUCGCGAUUAAUCGCGAGUUAACUAUGACAUUAAUCGCGAUUAAAUAUUUAAAUUGCUUGACAGCACUAAUAUCUGCACGUAGUUCAAAAUGUAGGCCAAGUAUGUGCUUAAAAAAAAGAGCAAUAUUGGCACACAAAUCGAAUUUACAGAUAUACAGUAGGCCUACAAUGGAAUUGUUAUUGCACUGCUUUGCAAACAGAAAUAACCUUCUUAAUCACAAACCUGAUGGUCAGGGGCGUAGCCAUCAAUUCAGAAGUGAGGGGGACAAAUUGUUCAGAGGUCAAUUGAGUGAUUUAUCAUCCUCUCGCAUUCAGUUGCACCUCUCCUUAGUGGCUAAAGAACCACAUAGCCACAAACAGCACAGCAACAGGGGACCGACUUUAGUUCUUUAAAAUGAUAUACGAUUAAAAUAUAAAGUCAAAAUCUAAAGCUGCCAAACUCUGGUUGAGUUGACACAGAAUGACCCUCGAGCAUCUACAGGGUAAGUAGCCAGAUAAUUAAGUGCCAAAUGACAACACUGAACACGAAAAGUUCUGUAAAACACCAUUCCUGUUUCACCAGCACCAAAAUGGAAUGGAAGUGACAAGGUAACAGUAACAUAAUUUAAUGGCAAGAAGUGACAAUUGAAAGUGACAACAAUAAACAUAUCGACAUGAAGAUGUAGCUAUUUUACAUUUGCUGUCGUCAACUAUGACAGCACAGAUGUGCAAAAUGAAUCAAGACUAAGAAUGUUGCAUUUUUUUGAAGAAAGUAGUCCAAUCCUUGGCAGUGUUAGGAGUAACGUGUUACAAAAGUAAUGUGAUUACUGUAAUGUAUUACUUUUUGCUGUAACGCGGUAAUGUAAGGCACAUCCUGGGGAACAAACUCGCCUCCUACUUCCAUCUAGAUGAUCAGCUCAUCCGGUGGAUACUGGACUUUCUAACCGACAGGUCACAGAGAGUCCGGGUCAACAACACCUUCUCCGACCUCCGACACACCUCGACGGGCUCCCCUCAGGGCUGUGUGCUCUCACCUCUGCUCUUCAUCCUCUAUACAGAUGACUGCAGAUCCACACAGCCUCAGUGUCACCUGGUGAAGUACGCAGACGACACAGUUCUCCUGUCCCUGCUCUCAGGUCCUUCACAGCAGCAUGGAUCAGCUGUCCAGCAGUUUGUGGAGUGGUGCGACAGCUCAUGCCUUGAGAUGAAUAAACCGCCUGGAGAGUACGGCCAGAGUUUGCUCUAAAAUAAUUGGACUUUCAACAAGAACUCUCUCCUCCAUCCACGACCAGCAAACACUCCGCUUAGCCAACAGAAUUAUGCAGGACCCCUCACACGCUCUAAGGUGACCAGACGUCCCCGAUUUCCGGGGACAGUCCCCGUUUUCGGUGAUCUGUCCCCGGUCAAAGCUGUCCCCGGAAAUGUCCCCGAUUUUGACAGUGAAUGGGGGGAAAAUGCGCGCAGACUCAAACACCAGUUAUUACGGUAGUAAUUUAACGCAGCACCAGAGAAGACGUCGUAUGACGUACAGACGUUAUCAGGACGUGCGACCAGACGCAGCAGCGUCAACAACAACAAUCUAGAGGCGGCAAAAAGGAAAAGAGAAGAUCAGCGGUCUCAUAAAUGGUACGUUGUGUAUGAACUUAUUUAUUUUGUGUGAAUUGGCAGUAGACUUGGCUCUGUGUGUGUGUGUGUGUGUGUGUGUGUGUGUGUGUGUGUGUGUGUGUGUGUGUGUGUGUGUGUGUGUG
ensembl:lncRNA